rnacentral:rRNA from 1 species
GCUUGCUUUUUGCUGACGAGUGGCGAACGGGUGCGUAACGCGUAUGCAACCUACCUUUUUCUGAGGAAUAGCCCAGAGAAAUUUGGAUUAAAACCUCAUGAUAAUAUUUAUUCGCAUGUUUAAAUAUUUAAAAUUUCGAUGGAAGAAGAUGGGCAUGCGUAACAUUAGUUUGUUGGUGAGGUAAUGGCUCACCAAGACUACGAUGUUUAGGGGGUCUGAGAGGAUGAUCCCCCACACUGGUACUGAGACACGGACCAGACUCCUACGGGAGGCAGCAGUGAGGAAUAUUGGUCAAUGGACGAAAGUCUGAACCAGCCAUGCCGCGUGAAGGAUGACUGCCCUACGGGUUGUAAACUUCUUUUGUAUAGGAAGAAACCCCUCUACGUGUAGAGGGUUGACGGUACUAUUCGAAUAAGCACCGGCUAACUCCGUGCCAGCAGCCGCGGUAAUACGGAGGGUGCGAGCGUUAUCCGGAAUUAUUGGGUUUAAAGGGUGCGUAGGCGGAAAUUUAAGUCAGUGGUGAAAGCCUGCAGCUUA